rnacentral:rRNA from 1 species
CUCGUAGGUGGUUUGUCGCGUUGUCCGUGAAAACUCACAGCUUAACUGUGGGCGUGCGGGCGAUACGGGCAGACUAGAGUACUGCAGGGGAGACUGGAAUUCCUGGUGUAGCGGUGGAAUGCGCAGAUAUCAGGAGGAACACCGGUGGCGAAGGCGGGUCUCUGGGCAGUAACUGACGCUGAGGAGCGAAAGCGUGGGGAGCAAACA